UGGGGAAUUUUGGACAAUGGGCGAAAGCCUGAUCCAGCAAUGCCGCGUGUGUGAAGAAGGCCUUCGGGUUGUAAAGCACUUUUGUCCGGAAAGAAAUCCUUGGCUCUAAUACAGUCGGGGGAUGACGGUACCGGAAGAAUAAGCACCGGCUAACUACGUGCCAGCAGCCGCGGUAAUACGUAGGGUGCAAGCGUUAAUCGGAAUUACUGGGCGUAAAGCGUGCGCAGGCGGUUUGCUAAGACCGAUGUGAAAUCCCCGGGCUCAACCUGGGAACUGCAUUGGUGACUGGCAGGCUAGAGUAUGGCAGAGGGGGGUAGAAUUCCACGUGUAGCAGUGAAAUGCGUAGAGAUGUGGAGGAAUACCGAUGGCGAAGGCAGCCCCCUGGGCCAAUACUGACGCUCAUGCACGAAAGCGUGGGGAGCAAACAGGAUUAGAUACCCCUGGUAGUCCACGCCCUAAAACGAUGUCAACUAGUUGUUGGGGAUUCAUUUCCUUAGUAACGUAGCUAACGCGUGAAGUUGACCGCCUGGGGAGUACGGUCGCAAGAUUAGAACUCAAAUGAAUUGACGGGGUC
rnacentral:rRNA from 1 species